AGAGUUUGAUCCUAGCUCAGGAUGAACGCUGGCGGCGUGGAUAAGGCAUGCAAGUCAAACGGCCCGCAAGGGCAGUGGCGAACGAGGUAGUAACACGUGGGUACAUCCCUUUUAGUCAGGAAUAACUAGUCGAAAGAUUGGCUAAUACUUGAUAGUCUCUUCGGAGUAAAGAUUUAUCGCUAAAAGAAUGGCCUGCGGAGUAUCAGCUAGUUGGUAGGGUAAUGGCCUACCAAGGCAAUGACGCUUAGGGGAGCUGAGAGGCUGACCCCCACCGAUGGUACUGAGACACGGACCAUACACCUACGGGUGGCCGCAGUCGAGAAUCUUCCACAAUGGACGAAAGUCUGAUGGAGCGACACCGCGUGAUGGAUGAAGACCCUCUGGGUCGUAAACAUCUUUUAUGAGGGAGAAAGUUUAUUGAUAGUACCUCACGAAUAAGGGGUUGCUAAACUCGUGCCAGCAGCAGCGGUAAUACGAGUGCCCCGAGCGUUAUCCGGAAUCAUUGGGCGUAAAGGGUGUGUAGGUGGCAGUGUUAGUCGAUUGUUAAAACCUGGGGCUUAACCCCAGAUGUGCGAUCGAAACGGCACAGCUAGAGGAUGGCAGGGAUGUAUGGAACUCAUGGAGUAGGGGUGAAAUCCGUUGAUAUCAUGGGGAACACCAAAAGCGAAGGCAGUUCACUGGCGCAUUCCUGACACUGAAACACGAAAGCGUGGGUAGCGAAUGGGAUUAGAUACCCCAGUAGUCCACGCCCUAAACGUUCCUCUCUGGCUUUUCGGAGUAUCGACCCUCUGAGAGGCGAAGCUAACGCGUUAAGAGAGGCGCCUGGGUAGUACGGCCGCAAGGCUAAAACUCAAAGGAAUAGACGGGGACUUGCACAAGCAGUGGAUUAUGCGGUUUAAUUCGUAGGUAAACGAAGAAUCUUACCAAGAUUUGAAACUAACCCGUAUGCCCCUUUGGAAACAGAGGAGCCUCCAGGGUUAGCAGGUGAUGCAUGGCCGUCGUCAGUUCGUGAUUUGAAUUGUUCCCUUAAGUGGGGUAACGAACGCAACCCUCGUUGUCUGUUAUAUAUGUCAGGCAAGACUACCCAGCUUUUUGUAAAUUAACAUUUAGUUUGCAAGAAGCUGGGGGGAAGGUGAGGAUGACGCCAGGUCAGCAUGUCCCUUUGAUACCUUGGGCUACACACAUAAUACAAUGGCGGUUACAACGGGUCGCGACGAGGAAACUCUGAGCCAAUCCUAAUAAAAACCGCCCCAGUUCAGAUUGGGGGCUGAAACUCGACCCCAUGAAGUUGGAAUUGCUAGUAAUCGCGGGUCAGCUAUACCGCGGUGAAUACGUUCUCAAGUCUUGUACUCACCGCCCGUCAACUCAAGGGAACCGGGAAUACCCGAAGGCCAGCUUGCUGGACCACGGUAAAUUCGGUAACAGGGAGUAAGUCGUAACAAGGCACGGCUAGCGGAAGC
rnacentral:rRNA from 1 species